AAUUUAUUCAGUAAACUUUAACAGUUUGCGACUGUCAAUUUAAUACCCACAUUGUUGAAACACUUGAAUAAAAAACAUGGACAAAAUAAAUACGAAUAUCACGAAAAUUGGCGUCUUGGUGCUUCUCGUGGUUAUAUAUGCAUGCGUAUCUGUAAAUGGAGCACGUUCAAACUGCAAAUUCGGGACAGACUGUGAGAAAUGCUCUAAGGGUCAUUUCAAGAUGGUACGGCUUGGCGAAAGGGAUGUAAAGGUGUGUUGCUCCUGGGUGCAGCAAAUACUGCAAGGCCGGAAACAGACGUAGUGACGGAAGACCAUAUUGCACUUGCUAUUAUUCGAAAGACAUAAAGGGAGAUUGUUGGAAAGGCGAGCAAUGCGAGACCUGUUUGAAAGGACCAAACAAGGGUUACGUUGGAUACAUCAACAUUAUUCCAGUGUGUUGUGCAAAAUGUGAGAGAUCUGGCCUCAUGCUUGGAGGAGGAAAGCUGUGCAACUGUCGACAUAAUGGUCCUUGAACUUUGUAAUCAUCUUUGGGAAUCGUCACAUAAGUAGAUCAUCUGUUUGUCACCUUCAAAAUAAAUGCUUUUGUGUUCCUUUAUUUGUUCGUUUUGUGCAAGUGUGUGAGUGUGUGUAUUUUGGUCGUGUACGUCCGCGUGCUGGGUUAACGUUAUGGGAGGCUGCGUUUCUGGAACGUGGCUUUCCCUGUUGGAUAUUUAUCCUUGUUUUGUAUACAAUAUACUAAGAAUAUACUAGUAUUCAAUAAUUAAAUUAAGGUAUCCUAAAGUGCAAAUAUUAGCCGUUUAUUUUACAAGAAGAAAGAAACAUAAAUCCUCAAAACGCACGAGGUCGUUACCAUGUAAAUUAACAUUUAUAUGACAUUUCGUUUUAACAUGAUGGUCAACACACAUUUUCCUUGUACUGCACUUCUUACUGGUAUUGUUUUUAAUCGUCAUAUUUGUGUGUCUGCUAGAGAGAUAUUGCAUUUUAAAGUGUAUGUUUAUAUAUGUUGAAUGUCUGUAGAUGCUAUAACUGUACUUUCAAGUUUUUGUUGUUACUUAUUAUUUUUUUCGCCGUUUUCUGUUUCUGUCUUAUGUUUUUUUUUGUUUCUAAUGUUGAUAUAUAUGUAUAAAGUGUCCUCAUCCGAGUUUUGAAAACUGUGUUUUUUUCCCAGGUGAUUUGUCAUUAACCUAAUGAAAUAAUUUUGACCACUUGAAUAUAUAUUUGAGUGAUUCUGAUCACAGUCUCUAAAAUUAAGUCAUUGGCAUGAAAUCAAUUUAAAUACCAUUUAAAAUGUUCUGAAGGACGAUUUUCCCGCUGGUGCUUCUGUCGAAAACCGUCCAUAUGGAUUAUCUUAAGUUUCCUUGUAACUAGGAUUUCACCCACUUGGAAAUAGGUUUUUAUCAUAUUUUUUUAUGAAUUUGAUAUUUCAGGCAUAUUUUCAUAGUUGGAUGUUUUUCUUGUUUGUAACAGUGCGCUAAGAAUGACUUAUCAAUGUGUGUAAUCAGUAUGAUUUUGAAUGUGCAGAAGUUUUGCUUACCAAUAAAUGAAUGUUAAAUUGA
rnacentral:lncRNA from 1 species